rnacentral:rRNA from 1 species
AUUGAACGCUGGCGGCAUGCCUUACACAUGCAAGUCGAACGGCAGCGCGGGAGCAAUCCUGGCGGCGAGUGGCGAACGGGUGAGUAAUAUAUCGGAACGUGCCCAGUAGUGGGGGAUAGCCCGGCGAAAGCCGGAUUAAUACCGCAUACGACCUACGGGUGAAAGGGGGGGAUCGCAAGACCUUCCGCUAUUGGAGCGGCCGAUAUCAGAUUAGGUAGUUGGUGGGGUAAAGGCCUACCAAGCCUGCGAUCUGUAGUUGGUCUGAGAGGACGACCAGCCACACUGGGACUGAGACACGGCCCAGACUCCUACGGGAGGCAGCAGUGGGGAAUUUUGGACAAUGGGCGCAAGCCUGAUCCAGCAAUGCCGCGUGCAGGAAGAAGGCCUUCGGGUUGUAAACUGCUUUUGUCAGGGAAGAAAUCCUCUAGGCUAAUACCUUGGGGGGAUGACGGUACCUGAAGAAUAAGCACCGGCUAACUACGUGCCAGCAGCCGCGGUAAAAC